UUUACCAUGAAGAACUUGCUUGGAGUCUCCUAUGAAAUCUGCUAUGGAGUUUGCUCUUAGCUCGAAGUAGCUUCUGAAAAGAACUCACACUACUGUUUCUUCUAGAGAAACUCUCUCAUCUUCUAACUGAGGUGAGUAGUGCCCUUAGAUUCUCCAUGGUUGUUAAUUGUAACUACAACACAGAUUAACAUUGGAUAUUUUUAGCUUUUCUAGUCAAAAUAUCUUUCUAACCUUACAUGUAUGAGUAUAUUCUUUUACUUUUUGAUCACCUGAUACUGCUUACUAUAUUUCUCUUCAAUUUAAUUUCAUGAUAUUUUGUGGCAGUGGGCUGCUUCAACAGCUGGUUUAAUCUUGGGACACAAAUUCCAUGAAUUAGCCAAGUGAGUGUACAAAUAUAUUAGGGAUUUUUUAAUUUUCUUUUGACAAUUUACCUUUUAUGGCAUCUUCAAAUUUUAUUUAGAUUUCAUAGUCUUAAAUAGUAAACUAACUUUUCAUCUGUUGGUUAGCAUAAGUUAGAAACUGUUCUAAUGAUAAAUUUUAGUCUUAAGUUUAAAUUGAAAAUAAAUCAUCCAAAAAUACUACUGUCAUAAUAUCUUUGUUAAGCUAGGCAUAAUUUUGCUUUUGAUGUGUUUUAUUCAAAAUCUUGGCUACACUACUUGUUUAAUGGUUAGAUGAUACUUUUUGUGAAGUCAUUGCAACUGGGAAUAACUCAACUCAGCUGUUAACUUUUUGCUCCUUUUGUAUUCUAAUCAAAUUUGCUUUUUUCACUUUAGGCCAGUGCUUGUUUGAAUGUGAUGACGCAACAUAAUCCUAAGUAUGUUACUACAGAAUAAAGGUAUUAUCUCCUAGCUCAUCCAAAACUGGUUAACUGAAUCUUUAAUAGAAUGUGGUUAAUUACUCUAACUAGGGAAGUUUUGAUUUUUGAAGUGAUUUAAAAGAAUAAAAAAUAUGUGGAAAUCAAUGCAAGUGUUAGUUUGUUUGUUCUUAUGUGUAUAUUUGGAGUAAAAUAUUUGUACGAAGUAUUUCCACGAUUAACCAUUGAAAGCCAUGAAUUACAAAUGUUGGGAUGUGACAAACUGUGAUCUCUAUUCUUAUCUACAAUUUAUGAAGAAUGGCAAUGGCCCCAAAAAGUAGAAGUGUGCCUCUAGUUCCAUCCGUCUCACCAAGAGAUACUCCAUGAGCUUCUUUGCUUAUCUAUCUAAUAAAAGUAUAUAAAAAAGGGAAAAUUUUAUCUAAAAAUCAAGAGAUCCAUUUUUGAAUCCCCAAGUGGUGGGAGUAACGGAAGAGGCCAUGAGAAAUAAACUCAAUGUCUGUAAAAUAAAAAAGAAAACCAUUUUUUUUUUUCACUUUGUAUAUUUAUCCAUUCAUAGGCAGCAGGCCCUAUCCUGAAAAAGUAGGCAGCUUCCAGUAGGCAGUAGGCAGCUGACAAGGAGUGUAAAACAUCGUCUAGAGAGUUAAAUUUUGAGAAAGGAUUUAUUUACUGUUAUCAAAGGAGUUGAAUCUAACCCCUUCAUAUUUGAACUGUAAUUCUUAUUUCACUUAAAUGAAUGGACUUAUAUAUUGAACUUCAUUUGUUAUCUGUCGUGCAAUUAUGAUAGAGGAUGGUUCGAGCUAUCAGCAGAUAAUUCUUGGUUUUUAGUACAUUACGAAUUUUUUCCUCAAAUGCUAAUCAUUGAACAGCAUUACUGUUAAGCUGCAAUAUCAGAGUGCAUUUGGGAGUAAAUUGCCUGCCGUGUUGUUGGCAGGUGUUGCAGGCAUUGAUUGACUGUAGGACCAAAUGCAUCUAAGGAAGUAGUCUGGCUACAGAAAGGAGGCAGCGUGAAGGCAUCUACUGAGUAUAAAUUUCUACACUAACUACUUCUAAUAUUGUAAAUCAGUUAUACUUGUGAUAAAUUGAAGAUUUUAUAUGCUCCAUAUAUUUUAUUUUUUAUGAAAAAUCAUGGAGGACAUGUAUACUUAUUCUAUUUAUUUGUGUGUUGCGUAUGUUGGAUUUUAGCUUCAUAUAUCUAGAUGAUGAUUCUAUGGAUCCGAACAUCUGGAGAUAAGGCAAUUUUUAAGUCUUACAGUAAUACUUUCUAGGUAGGAUAAAAAUGCGCUAAUAACCUGCUAGUGCUGCCUUUGCAGAGACUGCAUUUAAGAGAAAUGGAGAGUGAACUAUUUAUAAGCCUCUUUUCAUUUGUAAGCCUCUUGUCUUGUCCUUUCAGAUUCUAUAUAUUCUUCUUCUAGUCUUUUUGUCCUACGAGUAGAGUUUUCUUUGAAUAUCACUUGCUGAGUUUCUGCUUUUCCAUUCUCUUUCAAAAAAAUUCUUUAGCAAGCUUCAUCGGAGGAUCACCACUACAAGCAUGACGCAGCAAACGGGUCCCUUCUCCUAAACCAUGCUAUAAUUAUACAAGGGGAGGAGGGGAACAAGAACCACAUUGAGAUGGUUCGAUCUUCUGCUUGCAAUGAAUUAUUCUUCUGUUGUAUUUUCUUCUGCUUGCAAUGAAUUAUUCUUCUGUUGUACUUUCAUAAGAUGUCAUGUUAUCCUGUUACAAUUUACAAACGCAUGGCCAGG
rnacentral:lncRNA from 1 species